UACAGAGACUGCAAGCGUUAUUCGGAUUCACUGGGCGUAAAGGGUGCGCAGGCGGCCGUGUGUGUCAGGUGUGAAAGCCCGGAGCUUAACUCCGGAAUUGCGCCUGAAACUACAUGGCUAGAGCAUUGGAGAGGGAAGUGGAAUUCACGGUGUAGCAGUGAAAUGCGUAGAUAUCGUGAGGAACACCAGUGGCGAAGGCGGCUCACUGGCCCGAUACUGACGCUGAGGCACGAAAGCGUGGGGAGCAAACAGG
rnacentral:rRNA from 1 species